CUCUUCCUGGGGCUCAGCGUCGGAGUCUCAGCGCCCUGCGGACACGGAGGCUGGGGCUUCUUGGCCUCAGGCACAUGUCAUGUGGCCUGUGCUUUGGACCGUGGUGCGUACCUAUGCUCCCUAUGUCACAUUCCCUGUGGCCUUUGUGGUCGGGGCUGUGGGCUACCACCUGGAAUGGUUCAUCAGAGGGAAGGAUCCCCAGCCUGUGGAGGAGGAGAAGAGCAUCUCAGAGCGCCGGGAGGACCGCAAGCUGGAUGAGCUGCUAGGCAAGGACCACACCCAGGUGGUGAGCCUUAAGGACAAGCUGGAAUUUGCCCCUAAAGCUGUCCUGAACAGAAACCGACCGGAGAAGAAUUAACGAAGGACACAGGGCCCUAUGGGUCCUUCAGUGGGCCUUGUCUGGCCCUGCCACCAUGUCGACCCAGCUCUAGAACCCACAUCUGAUUUGCUUUAUUGCUUCUGGCCCCUCUUGCCCCACACAGCCACACACUCUGGCUGCUCUGCUGUGGCCAGGCAGACGCGCUGGUAGCCUCAGGGGCCAGUGAAGAGGAAGGCUCACGAGGGUUCUGACCUGAAAGUUGCAUCUGCUGGUUGGUGGCCACCGCUGCUCAGGCUUCUGCGCUGCUGGGUGCACCACUGGGAGGAGUUAUGAGAUGAACACUGGCUCUCAGUCCCUUCGGGGAAGCAGUUCGGCCCCAAGGGGGAGUGGCUGGGAUUGGGGGUUGUCUUUAGGAGGGAUACCUACAUGUCUAGUUCCAGUUCGCACUGGGAGGAGGUCACAGAUCUGCCUGGCUUGCCCUGUCCUUUGUGCUCAUUCUCCCUCCAGUCCUGGCCUAGCACUCAGGCAGGGAUUCCCCUGGGAAGGAAAGCCCUUUUGUUCUUGGGAGCCCAGGCUGUUCACCUUGGGGCAUGUGACUUCGCUUGAAAACAGUCACUACCUUUCACCCCCCCAUCACUGUUCAGAGCAAAACUUGAUUAAAGUGGUGUCUGAGAACCA
rnacentral:lncRNA from 1 species